rnacentral:rRNA from 1 species
GAUGAACGCUGGCUACAGGCUUAACACAUGCAAGUCGUGGGGAAACGGCAUUAUGUGCUUGCACAUUCUGGACGUCGACCGGCGCACGGGUGAGUAUCGCGUAUCCAACCUGCCCCUUACUUGGGGAUACCCCGUUGAAAGACGGCCUAAUACCCGAUGUGUUUCAUUGACGGCAUCCGAUAUGAAACAAAGGUUUUUCCGGUAAGGGAUGGGGAUGCGUCUGAUUAGCUAGUUGGCGGGGCAACGGCCCACCAAGGCGACGAUCAGUAGGGGUUCUGAGAGGAAGGUCCCCCACAUUGGAACUGAGACACGGUCCAAACUCCUACGGGAGGCAGCAGUGAGGAAUAUUGGUCAAUGGACGUAAGUCUGAACCAGCCAAGUAGCGUGCAGGAUGACGGCCCUAUGGGUUGUAAACUGCUUUUAUGCGGGAAUAAAGUGGCGCACGUGUGCGCCAUUGCAUGUACCUCAUGAAUAAGGACCGGCUAAUUCCGUGCCAGCAGCCGCGGUAAUACGGAAGGUCCGGGCGUUAUCCGGAUUUAUUGGGUUUAAAGGGGGUGUAGGCGGUCUGUUAAGCGUGUUGUGAAAUUUAGGUGCUCAACAUUUAACUUGCAGCGCGAACUGUCAGACUUGAGUACACGCAGCGCAGGCGGAAUUCAUGGUGUAGCGGUGAAAUGCUUAGAUAUCAUGAGGAACUCCGAUCGCGAAGGCAGCCUGCGGGAGUGUUACUGACGCUUAAGCUCGAAGGUGCGGGUAUCGAACAGG